AAGUCGUAACAAGGUUUCCGUAGGUGAACCUGCGGAAGGAUCAUUAACACUUUUGCAUUUUAUUGGAAAAUUCAAUUUUUCAAUAAUUUACUUUACCCACAUUUUUGGAUGAAUUAUUUCUUUAUUAACCCUUUAUAAUUUUUAUACCCCAAAAACAAAACUAAUACUUCUUAUUUCUAACAUUUAUUUAAAAGAAAAAACAUAAAAAACAACUCUUAACAACGGAUAUCUAGGCUCUC
rnacentral:misc_RNA from 1 species